rnacentral:lncRNA from 1 species
CAGACCCAGAGGCUCCAGGCUCAUUUUGUGAGACCCUAGGAGUAACCCCCAACAACAGGGCAGAGGGCCUCAUUGUGUCCUCAGCCUGCAUCCAGGCAGACACAAUAGAUGAGAGGGGGUGUCCUGGAAGAUUGUCCACACAGUAUGUUGGACAUGCCACAUUUUGUUUUGAUGCCCCAGGGAAAGAUGGGGCUUAGAGGAGCCAUCCUGGGGGCAGUCUCCUAGCUUGGUCAGCUCUGAGACUCAUGUUUGGAAGUAGGCUUUCCUUCAGCCAGUCCCACCUGCCCUUGGCUUCCCCGGAAAAGCAGGAAGCUUGGAGGAGGUGGGGGAGCCAGAGACCGGAUUCAGAGGGGCAGAGGUCAGUGGGCUGGAGCUGCUGGACCCUUGGGGCCUUCCCCUGUGUCUAGCCUGACCCCUGACCCUACCAGCCCUGCCCCCAGCCCAUGGAAGCCCCAGUGCCCCAGAACCACCAGCUCUGUUGAGACAGGAAAGCAUAUGACAGGAAGGGAACCCUCCUCCCGCUGUCCCCUCUCUAGAAUAGCCCACCAAACUGGACCAGCUGCAGCAGCAGUGACCUCUUGUGCCCCACCCCCACCUGCUCAGGGAAGGGUGCUUGCCGGCUUUCAGGGAACAAACACCAGUGGCCACCAACCUGGAGGAGAGAGGGCAGGAGAGGGGUCAGGAGCUGAGACCAGAAAGAUGGGUAAGAAUUAGCCCAUGAAUUGGAUUGUGGAGUGGGGGCCUGACCCUGGGAGAGGCCCUGGGGCUGAAGGGAGCUUGGCAUCUUGGAAGAAUAACAAGGCCAGUGUGGCUGGAACCUGUAGGGGUGCAGGAAUGAGGCCAGGGCGGGGGCAGAUCAGGUAGGGCUUUGUAGACUGGGGCCAGGAGUUUGAAAGGAAGCCACUGAAAGAUUCUCAACAAGAAAGUUCCAGACUCAUGUUUGCAUUUCAGAAAGGUCACUGCUCUGUGGAGGAUGGAUGGGGGAGGGUGAGCCGUGCUGGAGAGAAGGCAGGGAAGGCAGCGGAGCCCGAGGGCCAGCACAAAUCUCGGUGGAUUCUGAGAUAUGGGGCAGGCAGUGCAGAAGGGGCCCCUGGGGGGCAUCAUGGGACCAGGAGUGUUGAGGGUCCACUCCAGGUCCCACUUUCUGGUGGCACCAGCCCUCCCAGGCUGAUUUCCCAGCAGUGAGCAGUGGCUUAGGUGUUGGCAAGGAGAAAGUGGGUGGUCCAAGUUCUUCCAGAUGAUGCCCCAAGAGGACAGAAAUGCUAAUACUUCUGGUAUUUGCAAGAGAAAAUACAGAAUCUGAACUGGAUAAGAAGGAAGCCAGAGAGAGGGGCAGUCCACGUGUUUGGGAGAAAGGAGAGUUGUUCCUGGAGUUAAGGGCUUGGUGAGAUGUCAUGGCUGUGUGGAAAACUGGGGGUGUGCCCACAGAGGGAGAAGGUGGGAACAGUUAUUUCAGAGUGGGUGACAGCUUGCUCCAAGGUCUGACUCAGAGUGGGCGACUGGAGGUCUUUGAGGUGAGGAGGUGGAGGAAGCAUUCAAAGAGGGGCCCACAGGCCAUCUUCCAGGGGAGUUUGGAAUCUUGGUAACUGACAUCUCCAGGAGGGACAAGGGAGGUGACUCUAGCUUUCACCUCCAUCACUGCCAACAGCCACUGUCACUGUCACCUAACCACAGUCCCCUCCGUCACCAUCAACACCUCUGUUGCCUCCAGCUCUGUCAUCACUUCCCCAUCAGCAUCACCAAAAUCCACCAUCAUUCAUUCAUUCACUCAGUGGACAAAUAGCUUGAGAAUAUACUCUUGGCAAGGAAUCUUAGUUGAGCUCUGGUCAUGGCGACAAGCAACACAAGUGAGGCCGCUGCCCUUGGGGAGCACACAGUCCGAUGGGGCAGACUGAACACAAACGCAUGAAAAGAUUUAGAAAACGAGAAGUAUAACAACGCGACAAUCCCACCCGCCGGUAUUUUCCCAAAGAAACAAAACACGCUCACACAAAGUUGUCCUCCAAAGUCCACAGCAGCAUUAUUCAUGAUGUCCCCAAACUGGAAACAUUUGAAUGUCCAUGAGCUGGUGAACGGUGACCAAAGUGAGGUCCAUCCACAUAGUAGAAAGAGCAAUGGACUGCUGAUACGUACAGAAUGAAUCUCAAAAGCGUUAUGCUAAGUUCAUGAUGCCGUUCACAAGAGACCACAUACUGCUUGAUGUUUAUGUGAAAUCCAAGAAAAGACAAAACUAUAGUAACGUAAAGCAGAUCAAUGGUGGGCAGGGGCCGGGGGAGAGAAUGAGUGCCCAGGGGCUGAGAGGGCUUUCUGGGUGAUGG